UGCUGAAGGGAGAAAGAGACUCAGGGCUGAAAGCAAAUGCCAUAAGCUUUUCACAAUGACUGGGGAGAGAGCUGCUGGCAUGGAAGUGAGCUGGGUUUGUCCGUGGGAACUGUGAGUAAGGUUGCCAUCACGAAAGCCAAAGUGGAUUUCUCCG